CGUGCAGUGCGAGGGUUUGCACGAGAUCACUCCUUGCCUUUUACCAGAUGUGACCGCGAGUCCCGCACAAAACUGCACUUAUAUAAUCUUUGGCACGGACUCAAUGGAGUCAGU
rnacentral:snRNA from 1 species